AUCUCCUCGUGGAGAUCUCUCUUUGGUGAAGCUUUUUCCUGCAAACCUGGAAUCUUCUGAUAUGGUGAUCUGUUCAAUUGCUUCGCUCCCCCAAGCAGCGGCCAAUGAAGCACUUUAUGAUUUAAGAUUUGAAAUUUCCCCUGAACACUUCAUCAAAACAAACAAAAAUUAGGGAUGUCAUAGGCCAGGGAACCACAUCAGCAGAGGAUCACAAGAAAUCUAAUCAAUAAGCAAUGAAGAAGAUGGCUCACCGCUUGCUUUGAUUCUCUGCUGGGAUCACUCUGCAUUCCUUUCUGUGGCUGUAGACUUUUUUUGUAUGGCUUCCCCUUGUAUUUUAAGGAAACGUGACAUGGUACAGCUAUCAAAACAGAACUUUAGACGGAAUGUUCAGCAAUAUAGCACUUUAAUUGCUGUGGAAGCAUUGAGCGUGGGGCACCUAACAGCCCAUUGCAGUGGUCUAGAUGGCUCCUCUCACCUUUAGGUUAAUGGCUUGUGUGUUUAGCUGCUCUGAAAUGAGUUUACUGCCAGAUGCUGAGUCCAGUUUGGUGAAGCAGCUACAGGAAAGAUGGAUUGUUGAGAUGUUCCACAUGUUUGUUUUUUUUUCUUCUCCCAAGAUAGGAAAAGAAAAGCAGAAUGUAUGGACCAUCUCCUAUAGCAUUCCCAGGCUACUUCUGCUAAUAACUUUAGCAAGAGUGAAAUAAUUAGUCAGCAACAUAACUUUGUUCCAGAUUGACUACCCUGGCAGGAAGGAGAUGGGAGUAGCCAUUUACUCUGCUCUGACAUGUAAAGUUCAUUUUCUUGAAGAUGAGUUGCUUUAGCUGUUCCUUUAUUGCGUGACAGCAAACAGUGUUGAACCUUCUGUGUCCCAUCAUCUUCUCCAGUUGUAUCCCCUCCCAUUUUGGCCUACCCCAAAGCCUGUACAGGUCUGUAGCUUCUAGAAGGGGCCUCAGUGUUAGCACAGACCUCAUGUUGUUGUUUCAUCCAGGCUUUAGGUUUGCAGACCUGACUGCUCCUUGACCUGGUCACUAUCUUGGCAGCAUGGCUGGCUCUCCCUUGCCAGAUGAGGGUGUAAAAUAAAGCCAAUGUCCUCCAUCCCACCUACUUUCCUUUUUCUUCAGUUCUUUCUCUACCAAGGCUGCAGUUUCCAAAAGUGUGUAACUCAGGCUGACUCAGAUCAAACAACAUCACAAGUGGCAGGUCCUUAAAGCAAAGAUGACAGCUACGAUAAGGCAUAUCACCCUGCUGUUGCCAUCAGGACCCAGUGUGACAGUCAGAGUGCUUGUGGGGUUGGCAAUAGGCAGAAGGGCCCCUCAGAACUUCUGGACACAAAGCAGCUUCUGAAUGAUUGAUGAUCAGCCCACAAGCACUGCAGGAGGUGCUCCAUGCAGGGCUGACUGAAUCCAGCAUCUGCCACUCACCCUGAUGGAUGCUGCAGGG
ensembl:lncRNA